rnacentral:rRNA from 1 species
GGGCGUCAAAGCUUACCAAAGAAUAUCAAACUCCGAAUGCCAUGUAGAUGAUGAAUGGGAGUCAGACUGCACGAGAUAAGUUGGGUGGUCAAAAGGGAAAGAGCCCAGACCUACAGCUAAGGUCCCAAAGUGCGUGUUAAGUGGAAAAGGAUGUGGGAUUUCAAAGACAACCAGGAUGUUGGCUCAGAAGCAGCCAUACAUUCAAAGAGUGCGUAACAGCUCACUGGUCGAGUGGACAUGCGCCGACAAUACACGGGGCUAAGCUGGACACCGAAGCGGCGGGAUUUUACCUAAGUAGAAUCGGUAGGGGAGCUUCCCAUGGGCGGUGAAGCCGCCGGGCGACCGGCGGUGGAGCGCAUGGGAGUGAGAAUGCUGGCAUGAGUAGCGAGAGACGAGAGAGUAACUCGUCCGCCGUGAACCCGAGGUUUCCUGGGCAAGGCUAAUCCUCCCAGGGUCAGUCGGGGGCUAAGGCGAGGCCGGUAGGCGUAGCCGACGCGCAGCAGGCAGACAUUCCUGCACCGCGCACGCGGCGCUACGACCGACGGGGCGACGGAUGGGGGUGGCUCGGCGGGGUUCUGGACGUCCCCGUGAUGGAGCGCGGCCCGCGGACCAGGGAAAUCCGGUCCGCACGAGGGCGAGGCUCCGGACGAAGCGAUCAAGCGAAGCGAGUGAGCCCGAGGUCCCUAGAAAAACCCCUAGGCAGGCGCGUGCGCGCCCGUACCGCAAACCGACACAGGUGGGUGGGUAGAACAUACCGAGGCGAUCGGGUCAACCAUGGUCAAGGAACUCGGCACAAUGGCCCCGUAACUUCGGGAGAAGGGGUGCCCGCGCGUACGUGAACGGACUUGCUCCGGGAGCGGAGGCGGGCCGCAGUGGAGAGGCCCAAGCGACUGUUUACCAAAAACACAGGACUCUGCAGAAGCCGCAAGGCGACGUAUAGGGUCUGACGCCUGCCCGGUGCCGGAAGGUCACGCGGAGGAGUUAGCCGCAAGGCGAAGCCCCGAAGCCAAGCCCCGGUAAACGGCGGCCGUAACUAUAACGGUCCUAAGGUAGCGAAAUUCCUUGUCGGGUAAGUUCCGACCUGCACGAAAGGCGCAACGACUUGGGCGCUGUCUCGACCAUGGACCCGGUGAAAUUGCACUGGUCGUGAAGAUGCGACUUACCCGCGGAAGGACGGAAAGACCCCGUGAACCUUCACUGCAGCUUGGCAUUGGCCGCUGGUCCCGCGUGUAGAGGAUAGGCAGGAGGCAUCGAUCCGGAGGCGCCAGCCCCCGGGGAGCCGCCCUUGGAAUACUGCCCUCGCGCGACCGGCGUCCUAACCCGAGGCCGUCAACCGGCUCGGGGACCGUGCCAGGCGGGCAGUUUGACUGGGGCGGUCGCCUCCUAAAGGGUAACGGAGGCGCGCGAAGGUCCGCUCGGGACGGUCGGCAACCGUCCUUUUGAAUGCAAGAGUACAAGCGGGCUUGACUGCGAGGCCCACAAGCCGAGCAGGUGCGAAAGCAGGCUCUAGUGAUCCGGCGGCCCCGAGUGGGUGGGCCGUCGCUCAACGGAUAAAAGGUACUCCGGGGAUAACAGGCUGAUCUUGCCCAAGAGUCCACAUCGACGGCAAGGUUUGGCACCUCGAUGUCGGCUCAUCGCAUCCUGGGGCUGAAGUCGGUCCCAAGGGUUGGGCUGUUCGCCCAUUAAAGCGGUACGCGAGCUGGGUUCAGA